GGAAUCGGCUUUAACCCAAUGCAUCUCUCUCCCCCGCUCGCUCGCUCGCUCGCUUGGCCCCAACUCUCGAGCGCAGUUCGCUAAAACACCGUGGAAGAAUGGGAUGGUUGACGAUGGCGUAGAUCGGGUCUGACGAAGAUCGGAGGGUAUGGCCGACGCCGGUAACGAUGGGGAGGAAGACGACGGCAGAAACCGCUGGGAGGUAGCGAGGAAAGGAGGGAGGAGGUCGGCGUCUCUUUUUUUUCGGAGAUCUGUGGGAAGGAAAGCACCUAAGCGAGAUUGGAGGGGGAAGGCCGCCGCCGGUAAUGAUGGGAGGAAGGCGACGGCGGAGACCGGCGGUAGGUGGGCGUCCGCGAGGGCUCGGAAAGGGUUCGAGAAUGCAACAAAGAAAAAAAAGCAAAACAAAACAAAACAAAAAAAAAAAA